rnacentral:sRNA from 1 species
CAGGUGCCCUGUCCAGCUGACUGCAAGGACAGAGAGGAGUCCUGCCCAGCUCUUGGAUCAGUCUGCUGGCCGAGGAGCCCGGUGGAGCCGGGGGUGACCCUGGAGCCCAGCCUGCCCCGAGGAGGCCCCGGCUCAGAGCCAUGCCAGGUGUCUGUGAUAGGGCCCCUGACUUCCUCUCCCCGUCUGAAGACCAGGUGCUGAGGCCUGCCUUGGGCAGCUCAGUGGCUCUGAACUGCACGGCUUGGGUAGUCUCUGGGCCCCACUGCUCCCUGCCUUCAGUCCAGUGGCUGAAAGAUGGGCUUCCGUUGGGAAAUGGGGGCCACUACAGCCUCCACGAGCACUCCUGGCCCUACAAGCCACGUGGCUGCGGUGCUGGCCUCCCUCCUGGUCCUGCUGGCCCUGCUGCUGGCCGCCCUGCUCUAUGUCAAGUGCCGUCUCAACGUGCUGCUCUGGUACCAGGACGCGUAUGGGGAGGUGGAGAUGAACGACGGGAAGCUCUACGACGCCUACGUCUCCUACAGCGACUGCCCCGAGGACCGCAAGUUCGUGAACUUCAUCCUAAAGCCGCAGCUGGAGCGGCGUCGGGGCUACAAGCUCUUCCUGGACGACCGCGACCUCCUGCCGCGCGCUGAGCCCUCCGCCGACCUCUUGGUGAACCUGAGCCGCUGCCGACGCCUCAUCGUGGUGCUUUCGGACGCCUUCCUGAGCCGGGCCUGGUGCAGCCACAGCUUCC